UACAGAGGGUGCAAGCGUUAAUCGGAAUUACUGGGCGUAAAGCGAGCGUAGGUGGCUUGAUAAGUCAGAUGUGAAAGCCCCGGGCUCAACCUGGGAACUGCAUCCAAAACUGGCAAGCUAGAGUAUGGCAGAGGGUGGUGGAAUUUCCUGUGUAGCGGUGAAAUGCGUAGAUAUUGGAAGGAAUACCGGUGGCGAAGGCGGCCACCUGGUCAGAAACUGACGCUGAGGUACGAAAGCGUGGGGAGCAAACAGG
rnacentral:rRNA from 1 species